GAUGAACGCUAGCGGCAGGCCUAAUACAUGCAAGUCGGACGGGAUUGGAGAGCUUGCUUUCCAUGAGAGUGGCGCACGGGUGCGUAACACGUAUGCAACCUACCUUUAUCAGGGGGAUAGCCUCUCGAAAGAGAGAUUAACACCGCAUAAAAUUAGUUUAUGGCAUCAUAAAUUGAUCAAAUAUUUAUAGGAUAAGGAUGGGCAUGCGGAACAUUAGCUAGUUGGUAAGGUAACGGCUUACCAAGGCGACGAUGUUUAGGGGAUCUGAGAGGAUGACCCCCCACACUGGUACUGAGACACGGACCAGACUCCUACGGGAGGCAGCAGUAAGGAAUAUUGGUCAAUGGGCGGAAGCUUGAACCAGCCAUGCCGCGUGCAGGAAGACGGCCCUACGGGUUGUAAACUGCUUUUGUACGGGAAUAAACCUUGAUACGUGUAUCAAGCUGAAUGUACCGUAAGAAUAAGGAUCGGCUAACUCCGUGCCAGCCGCCGCCGUAAGAC
rnacentral:rRNA from 1 species